rnacentral:rRNA from 1 species
GACGAACGCUGGCGGCGUGCCUAAUACAUGCAAGUCGAACGCAGUGGGGACGGGUGAGUAACACGUGGGUAACCUCCCCUCAGAGGGGAUAACACUUGGAAACAGGUGCUAAACCGAUAUUGACGGAUGGACCCGCGGUGCAUUAGCUCGUUGGUGAGGUAACGGCCCACCAAGGCCACGAUGCAUAGCCGAUCUGAGAGGGUGAUCGGCCACACUGGGACUGAGACACGGCCCAGACUCCUACGGCGGGCAGCAGUGGGGAAUCUUCGGCAAUGGGCGAAAGUCUGACCGAGCAACGCCGCGUGAGUGAAGAAGGUUUUCGGAUCGUAAAACUCUGUAGUUGGAGAAGCGGUAUCUAACCAGAAAGCCACGGCUAACUACGUGCCAGCAGCCGCGGUAAUAU